AGGAUGAACGCUGGCGGCGUGCCUAAUACAUGCAAGUCGAGCGAACGGACGAGAAGCUUGCUUCUCCGAUGUUAGCGGCGGACGGGUGAGUAACACGUGGAUAACCUACCUAUAAGACUGGGAUAACUUCGGGAAACCGGAGCUAAUACCGGAUAAUAUUUUGAACCGCAUGGUUCAAAAGUGAAAGACGGUCUUGCUGUCACUUAUAGAUGGAUCCGCGCUGCAUUAGCUAGUUGGUAAGGUAACGGCUUACCAAGGCAACGAUGCAUAGCCGACCUGAGAGGGUGAUCGGCCACACUGGAACUGAGACACGGUCCAGACUCCUACGGGAGGCAGCAGUAGGGAAUCUUCCGCAAUGGGCGAAAGCCUGACGGAGCAACGCCGCGUGAGUGAUGAGGGUCUUCGGAUCGUAAAACUCUGUUAUUAGGGAAGAACAUAUGUGUAAGUAACUGUGCACAUCUUGACGGUACCUAAUCAGAAAGCCACGGCUAACUACGUGCCAGCAGCCGCGGUAAUACGUAGGUGGCAAGCGUUAUCCGGAAUUAUUGGGCGUAAAGCGCGCGUAGGCGGUUUUUUAAGUCUGAUGUGAAAGCCCACGGCUCAACCGUGGAGGGUCAUUGGAAACUGGAAAACUUGAGUGCAGAAGAGGAAGGUGGAAUUCCAUGUGUAGCGGUGAAAUGCGCAGAGAUAUGGAGGAACACCAGUGGCGAAGGCGACUUUCUGGUCUGUAACUGACGCUGAUGUGCGAAAGCGUGGGGAUCAAACAGGAUUAGAUACCCUGGUAGUCCACGCCGUAAACGAUGAGUGCUAAGUGUUAGGGGGUUUCCGCCCCUUAGUGCUGCAGCUAACGCAUUAAGCACUCCGCCUGGGGAGUACGACCGCAAGGUUGAAACUCAAAGGAAUUGACGGGGACCCGCACAAGCGGUGGAGCAUGUGGUUUAAUUCGAAGCAACGCGAAGAACCUUACCAAAUCUUGACAUCCUUUGACAACUCUAGAGAUAGAGCCUUCCCCUUCGGGGGACAAGGUGACAGGUGGUGCAUGGUUGUCGUCAGCUCGUGUCGUGAGAUGUUGGGUUAAGUCCCGCAACGAGCGCAACCCUUAAGCUUAGUUGCCAUCAUUAAGUUGGGCACUCUAAGUUGACUGCCGGUGACAAACCGGAGGAAGGUGGGGAUGACGUCAAAUCAUCAUGCCCCUUAUGAUUUGGGCUACACACGUGCUACAAUGGACAAUACAAAGGGCAGCGAAACCGCGAGGUCAAGCAAAUCCCAUAAAGUUGUUCUCAGUUCGGAUUGUAGUCUGCAACUCGACUACAUGAAGCUGGAAUCGCUAGUAAUCGUAGAUCAGCAUGCUACGGUGAAUACGUUCCCGGGUCUUGUACACACCG
rnacentral:rRNA from 1 species